UUUAGUCUUUACUGGGUCACCGGCCAUCCUCUAUUAUUCAACACUUCACAACAAAAAACACUUAUUAAUCAGCGCUGACCAGAGGCCCCUUUUGAAACAAGAGAAGAGGGGAGAGAGGGGGAGAGAGAGAGGUGAAAAGAAGAUUGAGAAGCCCUGGACAGAGCUUUCUAAAGCCAGAGCAACCAUAGGGUACCUUCCUCCAGUGGCCAAAGUUUAUUUGAGACAACAAAGUUUCUAAUCAGGCCACGGAGACCUGGAUUUCUCCUCAUUUGCUUUACUCCCCUUCUCUUCCUCUGAAGAUGGUGGAGACUUUGUGGCGAGGAAGGAUGGCUUUAGGUCAAAUUGCUGAGGCCUGAUCUUAAAGAUCUAAUUGCUAUUGGAAGAGAAGCCUGUUUCCCAGCUGGGCCUCCACUCUGGAGACGGUGCAAGGAAGACUGUCCAGUCCUGCUCUGGGCACCCUGCUGAUGGAUGAGGUGUCAGGCCCGUAGUCAUGUGAGGACUGUUUUCCAAAUGGAGAAAACAGAAGCUCUGGAGGUUAUGUAACCUGACCAGGGGCACACAGCUAUCACGUUUUGGAAUCCAGAUUAGAGUUCAGAGAAGCUUGUCUCUAAAGUCUCUAUUCUUUUUGUUAAACCAGAAAUAUCUCACAUGAUUUACUUUCCUCAUAAUCAUUCAUGACAGAGCCUGCGUAGUCUGCCUACAGUGCCUUCACCAGAACGUUGAUCUGGGAUGCCUUUGAUUCGCAUGGAUGUGUGAACUGACAAAUUUGGACUGAGCUGAUAUAUGUACGUAGGUAUACAUGAACUGGUGUUUCAUGUUGUAUUGUAUUCUGAAACAGAAAUUCGGCAAAGGCAGUAGCAAUGUUGCUUUUCAGAAAUUUAUUUUUAGGAU